rnacentral:rRNA from 1 species
GACGAACGCUGGCGGCGUGCCUAAUACAUGCAAGUCGAACGGUCUUUUCUAUGGAAGCUUGCUUCCACUGGGAAGAUAGUGGCGAACGGGUGAGUAACACGUGGGUAACCUGCCCAUAAGAGGGGGAUAACAUCCGGAAACGGGUGCUAAUACCGCAUAGGUUUCUUGGUCGCAUGAUCGAGAAAGGAAAGACGGCCUUUGUGCUGUCGCUUAUGGAUGGACCCGCGGCGUAUUAGUUAGUUGGUGAGGUAACGGCUCACCAAGACGAUGAUACGUAGCCGACCUGAGAGGGUGAUCGGCCACAUUGGGACUGAGACACGGCCCAAACUCCUCCGGGAGGCAGCAGUAGGGAAUCUUCCGCAAUGGACGAAAGUCUGACGGAGCAACGCCGCGUGAGUGAAGAAGGUUUUCGGAUCGUAAAACUCUGUUGUCAGAGAAGAACAAGUCGGAGAGUAACUGCUCCGGCCUUGACGGUAUCUGACCAGAAAGCCACGGCUAACUACGUGCCAGCAGCCGCAGUAACAC